rnacentral:rRNA from 1 species
UCGGGAAUAUUGCGCAAUGGAGGAAACUCUGACGCAGUGACGCCGCGUGCAGGAAGAAGGUUUUCGGAUUGUAAACUGCUUUAGACAGGGAAGAAACAAGACAGUACCUGUAGAAUAAGCUCCGGCUAACUACGUGCCAGCAGCCGCGGUAAUACGUAGGGAGCAAGCGUUAUCCGGAUUUAUUGGGUGUAAAGGGUGCGUAGACGGGAAGUCAAGUUAGUUGUGAAAUCCCUCGGCUUAACUGAGGAACUGCAACUAAAACUAACUUUCUUGAGUGCUGGAGAGGAAAGUGGAAUUCCUAGUGUAGCGGUGAAAUGCGUAGAUAUUAGGAGGAACACCAGUGGCGAAGGCGACUUUCUGGACAGUAACUGACGUUGAGGCACGAAAGUGUGGGGAGCAAACAGG